CCUACGGGGGGCAGCAGUAGGGAAUAUUGCUCAAUGGGGGAAACCCUGAAGCAGCAACGCCGCGUGGAGGAUGAAGGCUUUCGGGUUGUAAACUCCUUUUGUUAGGGAAGAUAAUGACGGUACCUAACGAAUAAGCACCGGCUAACUCCGUGACAGCAGCCGCGGUAAUACGGAGGGUGCAAGCGUUACUCGGAAUCACUGGGCGUAAAGCGCGCGUAGGCGGGCUAGCAAGUCAGAUGGGAAAUCCUAAGGCUUAACCAUAGAACUGCAUUUGAAACUGGUAAGCUAGAGUACGGGAGAGGUAGGUGGAAUUCUUGGUGUAGGGGUGAAAUGCGUAGAGAUCAAGAGGAACACCGAUUGCGAAGGCGGCCUGCUAGAACGUAACUGACGCUGAUGCGCGAAAGCGUGGGGAGCAAACAGGAUUAGAUACCCCAGUAGUC
rnacentral:rRNA from 1 species